CUGCCGGUGACUCGAUCUAGCUAGCAUACGAAGCUAGCUAGCCACCUCUGCAAAUCCAUUCAGCUAGUUGUGUGCCUGGUUAGCUACGUUGCUGCGUACGUGUACGUCUCUGCGGAAAGUACUCGUUGGAGUUAGCAUUAGGACGGGACCAAAGCCAACAAGACGGACGCCCAAGUUGUUGAUGUGGGGGUGCCGACUAUCGACCCUGCGCAGUCCACCACCUCUGGGUCUAGCCAAGACCGAGGUCAGCUCCCAUGUGAGCUGCAAAUAGUUCGUACAACUUGAACAUGAAUACACAAAGCAUGAGAACAAGACGAGGAGAGGAACUUGUCGGAAUUGCAUAGAGGAACCAACCCAAUCGGCAUGGCUGUAUUGGGUGUCUCCCCAAGAUGAGCUUCCACCAGAUCUGAUGGCGGAGCACCACCGCUGGCUCCCACCAUUCUCAGGGCACCAAAUCCCGUCUGGCCUUCAUGGUUGUCGCCGUUGUUGGUGAUGGUCGAGCUCAGGGCCUCCGGAUCUAUGGUAGGCGG
rnacentral:lncRNA from 1 species